rnacentral:rRNA from 1 species
CGCUGGCGGCAUGCCUUGCACAUGCAAGUCGAACGGCAGCGCGGGGCAACCUGGCGGCGAGUGGCGAACGGGUGAGUAAUAUAUCGGAACGUACCCUGGAGUGGGGGAUAACGUAGCGAAAGUUACGCUAAUACCGCAUACGAUCUAAGGAUGAAAGUGGGGGAUGCGCAAGCACCUCAUGCUCCUGGAGCGGCCGAUAUCUGAUUAGCUAGUUGGUGGGGUAAAGGCCUACCAAGGCAUCGAUCAGUAGCUGGUCUGAGAGGACGACCAGCCACACUGGAACUGAGACACGGUCCAGACUCCUACGGGAGGCAGCAGUGGGGAAUUUUGGACAAUGGGCGAAAGCCUGAUCCAGCAAUGCCGCGUGAGUGAAGAAGGCCUUCGGGUUGUAAAGCUCUUUUGUCAGGGAAGAAACGGUGGAGGCUAAUAUCCUCUGCUAAUGACGGUACCUGAAGAAUAAGCACCGGCUAACUACGUGCCAGCAGCCGCGGUAAUACGUAGGGUGCAAGCGUUAAUCGGAAUUACUGGGCGUAAAGCGUGCGCAGGCGGUUUUGUAAGUCUGUCGUGAAAUCCCCGGGCUCAACCUGGGAAUUGCGAUGGAGACUGCAAGGCUAGAAUCUGGCAGAGGGGGGUAGAAUUCCACGUGUAGCAGUGAAAUGCGUAGAGAUGUGGAGGAACACCGAUGGCGAAGGCAGCCCCCUGGGUCAAGAUUGACGCUCAUGCACGAAAGCGUGGGGA